rnacentral:rRNA from 1 species
UACGUAGGCAGCAAGCGUUGUUCGGAGUUACUGGGCGUAAAGAGCUUGUAGGCGGUUUGUCGCGUCUGCUGUGAAAUUUCGGGGCUCAACCCCGAACUUGCAGUGGGUACGGGCAGACUAGAGUGUGGUAGGGGAGACUGGAAUUCCUGGUGUAGCGGUGAAAUGCGCAGAUAUCAGGAGGAACACCGAUGGCGAAGGCAGGUCUCUGGGCCACUACUGACGCUGAGAAGCGAAAGCAUGGGGAGCGAACAGG